rnacentral:lncRNA from 1 species
UGUAACCACGAAAAGGAAAUAAACUAGCUUUGCCUUUUUUUUAAAUGGCUAAAUUUUAUUAAUAAUGUAACUGAGCGCAAGACGAGUAUAAUGCGCAAAACAAACAUAUACAAUCACAUCACAAGAAAGAAAAUAAACUAAAACAUGUACAACACCUAAAUCCACCGACACCCAUAGCGGGCACUCACCCCAAAUACCAUCAACCCCGUCCAUCCAACUCAAACUUCAUCACGUCAAUAACAAUCAAUCUUGCUCAAACACUAAACCACGUUGCAUCAGCCACAACCAAAACAGCAGCCCCUAAGCCAAACAAAAGCCACUGCACCAUAUGACACAACUUGCAUCUCUGAAGGACCUAAAUCGAACAAUUGUCUUCGUAAUAAAACCAUCGAAAGCAAGACAAAAACACACCAAUCCUAGCACACCAACGCUAACCAGAAAACACAACCAAAACAAUAGGCACAGUGGAGACCGAUGAGAACCACAAGCCAAACUCAAUCGGGUAUCAAACUCAAACCCAGUCAAAAGAGAACCACCAUCCGCCUGCAGCGCAAAAGCAGCCACGGCGGAGCACCAAAUCCAAACUGAAACCAAAACGCAAACAACAACAACAACAACAACUCAAUCUGAUGUAGAGCAACCAUCACGAAGCGUGAGCCACAAAACGCGAUUGAAAAGGAAACAUCGUGGCGCCGACAACGGACAGCUGACAACGAUACAACAUAACAAGGUGACGGUCGGAGGUUAUAAACUAGAUUGUCAGUUACUAUGGCAGAGGCAUUAGGAUUUCGUAAGUGCAUCUAAUGAUUAAAAGAAUAGAAUAUGAG